rnacentral:ncRNA from 2 species
UACAUGUGGGGCUUCGUCGGACGAGCGCCACUAGAUGUAUGCUCACUCCUGCUGUCGAAGCAGGGGAACCCGGUGCGAAUCCGGGACUGCCCCGCAGCGGUGUGCGGCCGCCUCCCCAGGGAGCCCGCGAGUCCGAGUACCUGCCGACGGCGUGCCGGCGCC